rnacentral:tRNA from 1 species
CAAAAGGUAGUUUAAGUAAAGAUUCCGGUUUUGGGGGCCGGGGAUGAAGGUUUAGAUCCUUCUCUUUUGA